CAUAAAUUUUUAGCUCUUAUCACUUCAAUGAAUAUAAUGGAUCUAGAUAUAUGAUCAUCUUUUAAUCUUGGCAUCUCUUAGUUAGACAACAUUAAACAAAAUGGAGAUGUCAUUAAUUUUGUUCCUAGUGUAUUUGACAAAGACUUUGAUGAUUUUUAUAAAAAUAGAUUCAAAUAUCGAAAUGAUUCUGCUGUGAUGAAGAAAUAACAUCAUAAAAUGGAAAAGAAGGCAAAGAAAAAAAAGAGUGAAUCAGUCUUAGAAAAGUGGAUCUACCAGUUAUGAAGGCAUAUUUUGUGAAAAAAGAAGAAGAGUUGUCCAAGUUACAAAUAGAGACACCCUUCCAAAGGUAUUGCAUGUUUUUAGUAGGAAAUAAUUAGGUCGAGAUACAUGUUUAUAUUAAUCUAAUAAUUUUGUUAAUUUGUAUCUCUGCCUAUUUAUCACUUUUACUAUAUGUAUCUCUUGUUAGAAAUAUAGAGAAUGUAAUAUGUAUUGAGAGAUAUGUGUAAUAACUGUAAGAGAUACAUGUUUUGUUGUACAAAUAUAGUAUGUAUCUCUUACAAGGUUUUAUAAAUGUAUCUAUUACGUAGAUACAUGUAUCUUUUAUAAGAGUUUGUAUCUCUUAAAAGAGUACAUGGUAGUAUUAUGUAUUUUCUAAUUUCAGUUAAAGUAUGUAUGUUUUUCAAAAUUAAUAAUUUUUUGUGUGUUAUUUUUUAGGAUAUGAUUUAUA
rnacentral:lncRNA from 1 species